AUUGCUUCUUGGCCUUUUGACAAAGAUCAAGUAUAGUUAUCUGUUCUUAUCAGUUUAUCAUCUGACACAUCCUCUAACGUAGGACCACAUGUUACCGUAAGUGGAUUUUUGCAGCAGGGAGAUGAAGUAGGAGCUUGCUGCAUCCAUUCCAGGCAUUGUCCUGGUACAGUACCUUCAGGAACAGUGCACACUGU